CUCGGAGUCGCCGAGAGGAGGAUAAGUCCCUGGAGCUGGUUCCUGCUGCGCACCCUCUGCCUCCUGCCGAGUGAUGCCAUCAUUGCACACUUGUACCAGCAAUAGAUGGGGCCCACCCAAUCAAGUGAAGACUUGAGCAGAAGACUUGAGGAAGAGGGAACUCCUUCAGCCUGACUGAGCUGGGUCAUUUUAUUUCUUUGCCUUUGGACUCAAAUGAAAACACUGCUUUUCUUGGGUCUUGAGUCUGCUGGCUUUCAGAUUGGGACUUGUAUCAUUAUUACUUCUGGUUUUCAGAGCUCUGGACUUGGACUAGAAUUACGCAUUGACUUUCCUGUGUUUCUUUCUUGUUGACUGCAGAUUUUGGAGAUUAGCCUCCAUAAUCAUGUAAGCCAAUAUCUCAUUUUAUGUAUAAUAUAUAUACACACAUAUAUAGCAUAAUAUAGUCAAGGCCAUGGUUUUUCCAGUAGUAAUGUACAGGUGUUAGAGUUGGACCAUA